CUCAAUCCUUAGUACACGUGUCUCUCUCUCAAUCUCUCCUCCCUGGCUCUCCCUCAAUCUCUCCUCCCUCGCUCUCUCUCAAUCUCCCACCAUGGUUCCUCUAUCACCUUUCUUUUCUUCUUCUUCGCCCAACCCUAGAUUGAAAGAAAUGGCUUUAAAGCUUAACCCUUUGGCAUCUACUCAGCCCUACAGAUUCUCUUCCUCGGCUCCUCUUCUUCUUCUUCUUCUCCCACUCUCAGCGCCAAGCUAAAAUCAGAUUGAUGAUGAUACCAAGUGAUCAUGAAAAUGUGUUGCGCACAGGUCCUUUGUCAUGUUCUUCCAUCCUUGCACUUCUCUCCAAUACUCUGUUUUUGCAGCCACAGAGAGAACAGAGGUGGCGCCUAGACGACAACAUAAGACCAGGUCUGAAUCGUCUUCCUCCUCAAUAAUUCUUUUAAAUUCGUUUACGUUCCUGAGAUUGAUGUGGUUUUUUUAAAAAAAAUGCUGCUUAUGGAGAUUAUCUUAAGAACAAGUCUAACUUCAAGCAAGUCUAACUUCAAGCAUUGAUGUUUGUGUAAUGCAUUAGUUAAGUUAAGAGGAUCUUCAACUGGUUAGUUUUCUGUUUCCACUAUAGUUUCUUUUCAUGGAAAGUGUAUGACUAUGAUGAAUAGUUGUUUCAUAUUA